rnacentral:lncRNA from 1 species
GCCAGAAUGCAGGGCAACCUUCUCAUUGUCCCAGGAAAGGUUGUGCUUUCCUCUUUAACUGUGGAGGGCAUCUGGGAAUCAGGAAGCCCUAGCUCAUUUGGAACUCUACCGUGUGAGCUCUUUCACCUGGGCAAUUCAGACGAGGUGCACCACCUGAUUCUGGAGCUCCGGUGAAAUGUGAUGAAAAGUCUUUUCCCUCUCUCCCUGAAACACAGUUUCUUAAAUCGUUUCUUCUUGCUUACACCUCAAAUGAAGAGUCAUUUAAUUAGUGAAGCUCUCCAGCUGGAUACUCUGUGACAGUUGUAUAGUUUCUUCACUAUCCAUUUAAAGUUAAUGAGGAUUUGUCAUCUGGUGAUGGUAUGAUUGGAUGGCCACCUUCCCCCACAGGCUUCCUGUGACCUCAAGAGCUAAGGAUAGUGUGCUCAUCAAUACCACUGAUGCCUAGCACAGUGCAGGGCUCCUGGUAAACUGUCAGUAUGUACCAGCUGUGUGAACAUUUGAAUAAUUGAAUAAGUGAGUGAGUGCGGAGCCCUGUACCAGCUGUGCAGAGACCAUAACUUCGAAGGUAGUGUUUUGUUGUUUCUUGCAUGGCUCACUUUGCAGGAUCAGAUUCCACGUUGUUUAGUGCUAGGCUUACUUGGAUAAUACCUUCAAGAGACAUUCCAGAGUGGUCAGUAUGUCAUAUCAAUGGCUAUAUUUUCCAGUGAGGGGCCUGAAGUCUUUUCAUGUAAAGAGGUAAGAUUAUAGGUCAAAUAAUAAUUAAUAAGGAUUCUCUUUCUUCCUCCUUAUGUACAGCAAACUUAUCAAUGGCUUGCCCAAUUUCUUUUUGCCUCACCUUUCAGAUCUCCUUUCCUGUCACCCACAGUGGGGAGGCUGGCACAUGUGUACCUCAUUUUAAUCUGUGAUUUUCUGUUUCUGAAGUCCAGAAGCUCACAGGAUAACAGGGACAGUGUCUAUAAGGUUGCAUAUAGAAGGAAACAAAAGUACCUUGGGGACUUAGUCUUCUGUGAAGAUGACACAAACGAGAGACACCCAGGAGAUGGUGCAUCACAUGAGGAAAUGCAACCAUUGGAUUGGCUUUUAGGUUAUCCUGGUGUCGUUUUUCUUGAUUGUUGAUGUGGGAAGUUCCAGCUCACAUUGGUGGUCCUAGGAGUUAUGAGAAAGGUAGCUAAAUGUGAGCCUAGGAACAAGGUGGAGGUACUGUUUCUGUGUGGUCUCUGUUUCGGGUGUACAGGUUCCUGCUUGAGUUCUUGCCCUGCCCUUCCUCAUCGAUGGACAUGGAGCUGUUAGCCAGAUAAACACUUUCUUCCCCAAGUUUGCUGUCUGGUAGCAUUGGUCACAGCAGUAGGAAGCACACUAUGAUAGAGAGUGGAAGAAUGAACCAUAUCCCAGUGGUGAGAGACACACAUUCAGCUUCAGCUGACUUUCUCGAGGCUGAGUUCUGUGCAAGCACUCAGCACCAACUGUGAUGGUCUCCUUUGUGGCUCGUAUCCAAAUCUAACAUCCCAAACUAAGCGAGAGUGCAGCCCUCUAAGUAUUCCUUCAAUAAACAUUUUAAAAAUAAAAUCUUAUUAUUAAACAUGAAAGUUUGCUCCUCCCCAGUCUCUGCUUCUGGGAUAUUUGAAAGCUAUGGAGAGGCAGACCAGCAUCCUGGAUAUCCUGUCCUGCCAACUGCAAGUCAUUAUAGCUGCCAGGUCCACAGUGCAGUCUUGGCUACCUAUGAGGAAAGAUGAGGGUCGAGGUGAGCAUGACCUCUGUUUGUAUGACUGGCCAUAUCAACUAGAGUAUCUAGAUUUUCAUGUCUAUGUCAAAUAGUGCUGCUCUUCAUGUGGCUUAGCUCUCUUUUAUCAUUCAGAAAUGUGCCAUGUAGAGGUUCAGUUUGCUGGAUUUUUUUUGCUACUCCAUAGUAAUCUAUUCUAUGGCUAAAUCAUGAUUAACAUGGCAGUCUUUCCUUGACUGGUGUUUAAGCUGCUUCCAAAUAAGGAUACUGUUUGAAUUCAGAAGCCCUCCCUUAUGCUAACAAAGGAGAGCUCCUUGGGGCAUUGCUUGAGAGAGUAAUUGCAAGAGGAAGCAUUUUACCUGCACACUUGGCAGAUCUUGCCUGAUUACCAAAAUUGGUAGCAUCUAUUUAUAGUCAACUAACAAUCUAUAAGAGUCUUUUUGUUCCAUAUUCUUGCCAACCCUUGGUGAGGCAUUUUGUAUUUUGCGAAUCUUGUGAAUGGGAGAUGGUAUCUUGUUGUAGCAUUAUUUUUUUCCCCCCAGACCGCUAAGGACAUUGGCCAGUUGUUCCUUCUUAUUGGCACUUGGAUCUGUGGGGGUUGUUUUUACACAUAUAAUGUCUACUCUCUUACUUUUCUUCCUGGAAACUCAUUGGUUUAGAUAUUCUGGAUGUCAGAUGUUUCUUUCUCAGUAAUAUGAAUUUCAGUGGUCUUCACUCUGUGGCUUGCCUUUAUUGUGAUGGUGUCUUGUGGUAAAAUGUUUAAGUUUUGCAAGAUUCAGACCUGAUCAUCCCUUGUUAUAGGUAGCUUAGGAAACCUUUACUGAGUCUGAAGGAAUCAAGAAGUUAUCCUCUCAUUUCUCAUAAACUACUAAAGCUCCACUCUUACAUUGAGUUCUUUAAGGCAUUAACAUUUGUGGUUACUUUUUAACACUUUCAAUUACAUCCCAAAUUUGAGAAUUCCUCAUUAAGUUAGAGGGAAACGGGUGGAUUUUUGUGGAUUCUGCUGUUCACAAGCAUCAAGACUUCAUUUUGUGUCUGGAAUGGACAGAAGCUUCUAAACAGGAUGUCUUAGCCUCAAGGUUUCUUUGCUCCUUUUUUCUUCUUUCCCCUUCCUCUUCCCCCUCCCUCCCUCCCUCUCUCCCUCCCUCUUUCUCUCCCAUUUCCUCUCCCCCUCAUUUUUUCUCUUUCUUCCUUUCCCCUAAAGCUGUGAUGUAGGGUUUUCACAAUGUAGCCCAGACUGGCCUCACCCUCACAAUCCAUUGCUUCUGUUUCCCAAAUACUGGAAUCACAGGCUUACUUCAGAAUACCUUGCAAGAUUUAUUUUUCUUAAGUCUUCAUGAGACUUGAGACUUCCAAACACAUUCAUUCUUACUUCUCACUCAUCUCACUCAUCUCCCCAAGACCUAAGCACGUGCUGUCCCUAGUGUGACUUCAGAGAUAUCACUGGGACAUGAGCCAAAGGGCAUACCUGGCUGCCUUUGUAACUUAGCAUCACUUCUUAAUUUGUCCUUUGCCACUGGCCAUUUUGGCCUUCCUUAAUUAUUUAUCUACCUUUAUUUGUACUCUUCCUAUAUGACAAAUUAUGGUAGAUGAUUCUCCCAGACCAUGCCAAGGGGAGUUAGGAUUCAUAUAUUUUCUCUCUCUCUCUCUCUCUCUCUCUCUCUCUCUCUCUCUCUCUCUCUCCUUCUGUGUGAAUUACAUACUAUGAGCAAACUUUUUAAAACCUGAUUGUUUUAGAGCCCAGACAAAUAUCAUCUCUCAUAGGAAACACUUAUGGCCGUUUGUAGCUGGAACUCUCUUCUUAAUUCCAUUUGUAUUAAACUGGAUAAUUUAUGUUAUGACUUAUACAUGUGGAUACCACUAGAUAUUAAGUUCCCUCAGUGAUGAAUUAAUUUAUGUAUUUUUGAAUCUCUGGCCUAAGCCCAAUACCUAACAAUAGUUUUAGUGGGUAACAGCUGGUUUCUUGACGAUUGGUAAUUAGUUAUUGAAGAUGACACAGGCUAAAGGGAAACUUGGACUUUGAGGUUAUUGGGAUAGGACCAUUACUGGAACAUAGUCAAAUUUGAAAUUCUGAGUGUGUUUGGAGCUAUCAUUUGGUUGUGAUACUUAGAAAGAUUGAAUAUUUCCU